rnacentral:rRNA from 1 species
GGAUGAACGCUAGCGGCAGGCCUAAUACAUGCAAGCUGAACGGCAAGAUUUGUAGCAAUACGGAUCCUAGAGUAGCGUAAGGGUGCGUAACACGUAUGCAAUCUACCCACAACAGGAGGAUAGCUCUUCGAAAGAGGAAUUAAGACUCCAUAAGACCACGAGAGGGCAUCUGAUAGUGGUUAAACUACAAGGGGUUGUGGAUGAGCAUGCGUCUGAUUAGUUAGUUGGCGGGGUAACGGCCCACCAAGACGAUGAUCAGUAGGGGAACUGAGAGGUUGGUCCCCCACACUGGCACUGAGAUACGGGCCAGACUCCUACGGGAGGCAGCAGUAGGGAAUAUUGGACAAUGGGUGCAAGCCUGAUCCAGCCAUGCCGCGUGCAGGAAGAAAGCCUUCUGGGUUGUAAACUGCUUUUUUCAGGGGAUAAAAUACCGGUGCGCCGGGAAUUGCAAGUACCUGGAGAAUAAGCCACGGCUAACUACGUGCCAGCAGCCGCGGUAA